CAGUCGCCGCGGGAAUACGUAGGUGGCAAGCGUUAUCCGGAAUUAUUGGGCGUAAAGCGCGCGUAGGCGGUUUUUUAAGUCUGAUGUGAAAGCCCACGGCUCAACCGUGGAGGGUCAUUGGAAACUGGAAAACUUGAGUGCAGAAGAGGAAAGUGGAAUUCCAUGUGUAGCGGUGAAAUGCGCAGAGAUAUGGAGGAACACCAGUGGCGAAGGCGACUUUCUGGUCUGUAACUGACGCUGAUGUGCGAAAGUGUGGGGAUCAAACAGGAUUAGAUACCCCCGUAGUCCCUGUCUCUUAUAC
rnacentral:rRNA from 1 species